CGGGGUGUGGCGCAGUUUGGUAGCGCGCGUGGUUUGGGACCAUGAGGUCGGGAGUUCGAGUCUCUUCACCCCGACCA
rnacentral:tRNA from 3 species